AUUGAACGCUGGCGGCAGGCCUAACACAUGCAAGUCGAGCGGAUGAAGGGAGCUUGCUCCUGGAUUCAGCGGCGGACGGGUGAGUAAUGCCUAGGAAUCUGCCUGGUAGUGGGGGAUAACGUCCGGAAACGGGCGCUAAUACCGCAUACGUCCUGAGGGAGAAAGUGGGGGAUCUUCGGACCUCACGCUAUCAGAUGAGCCUAGGUCGGAUUAGCUAGUUGGUGGGGUAAAGGCCUACCAAGGCGACGAUCCGUAACUGCUCUGAGAGGAUGAUCAGUCACACUGGAACUGAGACACGGUCCAGACUCCUACGGGAGGCAGCAGUGGGGAAUAUUGGACAAUGGGCGAAAGCCUGAUCCAGCCAUGCCGCGUGUGUGAAGAAGGUCUUCGGAUUGUAAAGCACUUUAAGUUGGGGGGAAGGGCAGUAAGUUAAUACCUUGCUGUUUUGACGUUACCAACAGAAUAAGCACCGGCUAACUUCGUG
rnacentral:rRNA from 1 species